AGAGUUUGAUCCUGGCUCAGAACGAACGUUAGCGGCGCGCCUAACACAUGCAAGUCGCACGAGAAAGGGCUUCGGCCCCGGUAAAGUGGCGCACGGGUGAGUAACACGUGGGUAAUCUGCCCUCGAGCAGGGGAUAACGGUCCGAAAGGACCGCUAAUACCGUAUAAGACCACGACCUCGAAAGAGGAUGCGGUCAAAGCUGGCCUCUAUUCAUAAGCUAGCACUUGAGGAUGAGCCCGCGGCGCAUCAGCUAGUUGGUGAGGUAAUGGCUCACCAAGGCUAAGACGCGUAGCUGGUCUGAGAGGAUGAUCAGCCACACUGGAACUGAGACACUGCCCGGACCCCUACGGGAGGCUGCAGCGACGAAUCUUCCGCAAUGGGCGAAAGCCUGACGGAGCGACGCCGCGUGUGGGAUGAAGCGUCUACGACGUGUAAACCACUGUCAGAGGACAGAAACACUGAUUGUCCUCAGAGGAAGGGGCGACUAACUCUGUGCCAGCAGUCGCGGUAAUACAGAGGCCCCGAGCGCUAAUCGGAAUUACUGGGCUUAAAGGGUGCGUAGGCGGAUCCGCAAGCGUCUUGUGAAAGCCCUCGGCUCAACCGAGGAACAGCGGGGCGAACUGCGGGUCUUGAGGC
rnacentral:rRNA from 1 species